CUGAUGUUACUAUUAAUAUCGUCACUGCUUUUUUGCUUGUUUGUUUUCCCCUUUUGAAGGAUGGAUUGCUUCAUCAUUGAAGUUCUUUUUAAGUCAGUUUUCUGACUUUCAGGCCUGUCAUAUACACUGUUCUAUAAUCAAAAGAAAAAAGUACACACCCCCUCCUUCUCCAUUAUUACUGUAAAAGCUCAGUCGGUAAUUUUCGUCAGUAGUGAGAAGACGUGAGAUGUCGAACGUUAGUGGGGUUACGGCUCCACAGUGCAGAGGCAGUCUCAUUAUUUCAGUGCUGAAGAGCUUGAAAAGGAAAAAAGAUGAAACGUGACGAUGAAUAAAUAAAUUCGAGCAGCGCUGCUGCAUGCAGAGAAGAGGACCAGAGAAGCCUCCCCAUCAUGCCCUGGAUGAAAGCUCUUGCAUAACUGCAGCUGGGGUCGGCCGUUGGUGCACAUGUGUCGGUGCGAACUCCCAAUCACCCAGGAAAACGGAAAAAAGAAAGAUGGAGGAGGGGCGAGAAUGAGGUCUUGAAGUUGCCGACUAGUCUCUGGAUUCUAAACAAUGCCUGCAAAAGUUUACCUAAAAUUAUUACUGAAUGAAAACAAUGCAUUGUGGAGCAGAUGCUGUCUUACACUGGAAAAGGCUUCGAAUUUUCAGUGUGGAUGACAUCUAAUUUAUCUAAAGGCUUCAGCAGCACAAGGGCCAAUAGAGAGAGAAUUUAUUUUCUUAACACCAGGAAACACUGUGAACAGGCCAGCUUAAAGGUGAAACUAUUAGCUGAUCAAUUUAAAGGAAAUCCUCAACCUCGAAGGCCCAAAAUCCUCAAAUGCCUGUUACAUUAUUGAAUUCAUAACUGAUAUAUUUAUUUAUUGGGGUAGGGGAUGGGUGGACUAUUGGAUAAACAUUUUUCACCAUUUAGUUUUUAAAUGUCUGAUUUUAUGUGAUGCGUGUAAGGAAGUAGUAGACCUGGAGGACGUUCUCCAUCAUUCUUCCACAGUGACAUGAGUCUUGAUAUUUUUAGUUUUGAUUAAUGCCAGCUGCAUAGAUAGAUGAAUGAAUGCAUAUGUGGCUUUAAACCUGAUCACAUAAGAAUUACAUGCCUCUCUAGAUUAAUUUUCUGUGCUUGUAGUAUACCGUGUUGAUUAACUGUGAAAAGCAAUGAGCUCACAGUGGGAAUUAUUUAGGGAAAAAAAGGAAAAGCACAAUCUAUCACUGACAGCGUGAUCAGCUCAUAGCUAAAUAUCAGGAGGCAACCAAGGCGCUCUUAUUCCUUUAAAGGUCCUGGUGUAUCUGAAUAUAGCCACACAGAACUUUUACAUAACUGACCUAACCUGUGUAGCCUAUGUCAGAAUAACUAAAAAAAAGUAGCGUUAACAGAUGAAUAAAGCCAGUAAUGUUACAUAAGCCUAGAAAGUAAUCCCUUUUUCUUCUUAGGUAGAGUGUUACCAGAUAAGUGUUAAAAUGUCCUUUCUUCUUUCAGCUAUGAGCAUUUUGUCAAAGAUUGCAGCCAUAAACCAUCUAAUGAGCCGAGAAUCAGAGAGGGAAACACAAGUGUUGGGACGCAGGAGUGUGAAAGUGAGAAAGAGGAGCUUGAUCCAACGAAGGACGGGAAAAGAUGGCAGAUCAGUGGUUCUGCCUGGUUACAGAGGCGCAGCUCGUUUUUCGCUCGCUUUCUCUCUUCCCACGCAUGAAACCUGGUGUUAGACUCAAAGUGUUCGUGCCCAGGUGAAGUAGAUACUUAGCUAUUAACAAAGGAACGAAGAUAUUUUAAAAUUAUUGUGCUGAGCUUUUUGUUUCAAAAACUAAAAUCAUUAAAGCACAAAGAAACCCUCGAGUGGUGCUGAAAAUUAUACAUUUUAAGCCUUUAGAAGUGUAGUAGAAAGAGAAGCCAUGAAAAGAUUUAGUAGUAAUAGGUAACAUUUUGAAAUCAAUUCAUAAACCCCUGAGGAUGCCGUGUAAAGAGUCUGAAAUGAUGAUGAAGCGGUCACACCUCUCUUGUUGUCAAGUCUGGCAGCUGAGUUUGUGGUUGAGAAAUACAUUUUUGGCUACGGCAGCACAUCAUCUGCACUAAAAAGAGUGUGAUUUUAAAAAACGAUCUCCUGUCGGACACAAAAAGCCUGCACUGACAGAACGGUUACUGGCAGGAAGUCAGAGCCCAUCACAGGUCACUGCGAAGCCGGUGACUCAUUUCUACACCUUUCCUUGGAGACCAGACGCUCCAUCUCUGAAGAUGGAAUCUGCAUAAAAAAGCUCUCCAACGUGUCUCAGAUAGAAGAGCGUUUUCAAAGAUUUAUAGACUGCACAGCGUGUAAAAAGCCUUCAUGUGAUGCAUGGUGGCGUAACAAAGUCAUAUUUCCAUUACUUCAGACGACAUUGCUGCAUUUUUUUCUUUUCUUUACAAAUGAGUGCUACAGUGAAAAAUCAAGUGUUCCCCUCUAAAAUUUAAUGAAUUACAUUGUAGGUAUUUGCUUUUUACUCCUUACACGGUGUAAGUGUGCAGAGAUUCAUGUACCUUUUUUAAAAUGAACAAAACAUGCGUGUACACACACACAGCACAAAUAUAUUUACAAAUCAUGUUGGAUCUGUAGUGAGGAAGACGACCCAGCUUUACCUGGUGUGCUGCCACACAUGUGACCUGGACAAUGAGGAAGCUUAAUGUCAAAGCUGUGCAUGUCUUUCUCUGUAAAUCUGUCUCCUGGGGACAAAUUUGAGUUUCAUACAUUGCGAGUGGAGACAAUUCUCUUGUGUCUUCGCUGUUUGACCAACAUUGAAAGGGUAGGUAAGGGUUAGAAACAGAUUUAAGUUUGGCUUAAGACGAGAUCAAACUAUACCCACAAAUCACAGAUGGACGAUGAUCUCUCCUUUGGGACUCUUUAUCUCGUUUUUCACGCAGCUUUGAUGUGUGGACAUUCAUUAAAAACUUGUUAGGUGCCUAUUUAUUCUGAUGAAACACAGCAGAUUACAUACCUGACUGCUCUGAACCCAACUACAGCUGUGAUUUGGAAUUUAAAAGUAGUCUGAGUUUAACUUUC